GGGGGCAUAGCUCAGCUGGGAGAGCACCUGCUUUGCAAGCAGGAGGUCAUCGGUUCGAUCCCGUUUGCCUCCA
rfam:Lactobacillus delbrueckii subsp. bulgaricus ATCC 11842 complete genome